rnacentral:rRNA from 1 species
UGCAGUCGAGCGGCAGCACGGGGAGCUUGCUCCCUGGUGGCGAGCGGCGGACGGGUGAGUAAUGCAUAGGAAUCUGCCCGGUAGUGGGGGAUAACGUGGGGAAACCCACGCUAAUACCGCAUACGUCCUACGGGAGAAAGCGGAGGAUCUUCGGACUUCGCGCUAUCGGAUGAGCCUAUGUCGGAUUAGCUAGUUGGUAAGGUAACGGCUUACCAAGGCGACGAUCCGUAGCUGGUCUGAGAGGAUGAUCAGCCACACUGGGACUGAGACACGGCCCAGACUCCUACGGGAGGCAGCAGUGGGGAAUAUUGGACAAUGGGCGAAAGCCUGAUCCAGCCAUGCCGCGUGUGUGAAGAAGGCUUUCGGGUUGUAAAGCACUUUCAGCGAGGAAGAAAGCCUGGUGGUUAAUACCCAUCAGGAAGGACAUCACUCGCAGAAGAAGCACCGGCUAACUCCGUGCCAGCAGCCGCGGUAAUACGGAGGGUGCGAGCGUUAAUCGGAAUUACUGGGCGUAAAGCGCGCGUAGGUGGCUUGGCACGCCGGUUGUGAAAGCCCCGGGCUCAACCUGGGAACGGCAUCCGGAACGGCCAGGCUAGAGUGCAGGAGAGGAAGGUAGAAUUCCCGGUGUAGCGGUGAAAUGCGUAGAGAUCGGGAGGAAUACCAGUGGCGAAGGCGGCCUUCUGGCCUGACACUGACACUGAGGUGCGAAAGCGUGGGUAGCAAACAGGAUUAGAUACCCUGGUAGUCCACGCCGUAAACGAUGUCGACUAGCCGUUGGGACCUUUAAGGACUUAGUGGCGCAGUUAACGCGAUAAGUCGACCGCCUGGGGAG